UUUUACUCCCAACACCGGCAACUUCCCGUAAAUCUGCUCUGAAAUUUUAUCCUGCUCGCUGAGCCUCCGCUGGCUGAAGGCCAGUGCAACAUUCCUGUUGUUUUAGGAGCGCAGAUACCUUUGCUGAAGGUUGGGGAUAAAAACAAAACAAAACAAAUCUGCCUUGAUGGGGAAGAGACGUGGGGACUUCACCACACAGACUUGUCGCUCCCCGCUCAAAAAGUCACAUCCAUUUUAGACAGCCAAGAAAUAGCCCCAGCAGUGGCACCUGCUCCACCUGAGGACAUCUGCCCGAAAUCAGACGUCUGGCCCCCCGCUUUGGGCGGUUGAGGGAAACCAAGCAGAACCACGUUUGAGGAAUAAGGAACCAGCUGUUGAAUCACGAGCCGGAGCUGUGCUAGAUGACGUGGAAGACAGCUUCUAGCUCCAAAGAUCUAAGGGAACAUUUGGAGAUGUUGAAAGAUGGUGAGAAGACAAAGGCUCAGAGAGGUAACACCUGAAGGCCCCAAAGCAUGUCAGCAACACCAGAAGAUCACCGAUCUUCAGCUUUCCAGACGGUGUUUUCCCAGUAUCUGCUGCUGCCUCAGCCAUCCCUCAUCCUUCAGUGCUCCCACACUGCCUGUGACACGUACACACUCAAAUAUCACUCAUGUAUGCACUAAGGUCUCCAGGAAGAUAAUAAUCCCAGAGUGUUAUUCACAGGAAGUGGACAGCACUUCCUUUAUGCACUUUAUACAUAUGAAUGCAUUAAUCCUUACAAUAACCCUGGAGGUAGCUACUACUAUUAUCCCUACACAGACAUGAAUUUGAGCAAGCUCCGGAAGUUGGUGAUGGACAGGGAGGCCUGGCGUGCUGCAGUCCAUGCAAAAAGUCUUAUACGACUGAGCUACUGAACUGAACUAAACGGUUGCACAGUAUUGUAAAUGGGCUUCCCUUGUAGGUCAGUUGAUAAAGAAUCCGCC
ensembl:lncRNA